GCGGGUUAUCCAAACAAACCGUGGCUGUUGACCCCAUUGUCUAAUCCUGUUGGUAGAGCAGAAAAACGUUACCAAGAGACACACAUUGCAUCGAGGCAAAUAAUUGAACGUGCCUUCGGUGUACUUAAAAGCCGGUUUCGAUGUUUAGACACUUCCGGCGGUGCUCUUUUGUACUCACCGUCGAAGGUUUGCGGCAUGGUAAAUGCAUGUUGUAUUUUACACAACAUAUGUGUCGCAAACCGUUUGCCGGUGACUCUUCGUCGUAGUGCUUUCCGACGCGGGAACCGGUCUUCUGCUCUACCGGUGGGUAUGGGCGAAGGAGAGGAUUCCCGGCGGACAUUGAUCCAAAAUUAUUUUGCAGUUGCCUAGUUUUACAUCCUGUUGAUGUAUAUCCCCAGGCCAUGUUUGUACAGUUCGUUCCCCCCUGUUUUAUCCUGUUGGGUUACCGCAAAUAUUUGACCCUUUUAUCCAACUCUACCAUGGGCGACCUACUGGAGAUGUGGACCUGACCCUCCGCCAUGUAGCAGACAACCCCCUCAGGUCCUGCGGUGUAUCUUCCCAAGUGGCGUGGAUGUGAGGAGACACGACAUUUCACCUGAUGUUCCAUGGGCGACCUACUGGUGAUGUUGACCUGACCCUCCGCCAUGUAGCAGACAACCCCCCUCAGGUCCUGCGAUGUAUCUUCCCAAGUGGCGUGGAUGUGAAGAGACACGACAUUUCAACUGAUGUUCCAUGGCCGACCUACUGGUGAUGUGGACCUGACCCUCCGCCAUGUAGCAGACAACCCCCCCUCAGGUGAGAUGUAUUGCCCAAAACUCCCUUGUCCAAAAUCACCCCGACAUGUCCAAAGUGCAGCCCUCCGGCAUUUGCAAGACUGCACAUCCAAACAUUCCCUGAAACAGCAAUGCUAGUCAGGGA